rnacentral:rRNA from 1 species
UGAUCCUGCCGGAGGCUACCGCAUAUUGGAGUUCGAUUAAGCCAUGCGAGUCGCGAGAAAUUAGAUUCUCGGCGUACCGCUCAGUAACACGUGGGUAACCUGCCCUAUGCUGGAUAAUAACCUCGGGAAACUGAGAAUAAUGAUCCAUAGUUCACUACGCCUGGAACGGUGAGUGGAUGAAAGCUCCGGCGGCAUAGGAUGGGCCUGCGGCGUAUCAGGUUGUAGGGGGUGUAACGUACCCUCUAGCCCUCUACGCGUACGGGUGUUGGGAGACAUAGCCCGGAGAUGGAUUCUGAGACACGAAUCCAGACCCUACGGGGUGCAGCAGGCGCGAAAACUUGGCAAUGCGAGAAAUCGUGACCAGGGAACUCCAAGUGCAUCGGGUAAGACCGGUGCUUUUCUUGACUCUAAAUAGGUCUUGGAAUAAGGGGUGGGUAAGGACGGUGCCAGCCGCCGCGGUAAUACCGGCGCCUCAAGUGGUAGUCGCUUUUAUUGGGCCUAAAACGUCCGUAGCCGGUCUGAUACAUUCGUGGGUAAAUCAACCAGCUCAACUGGUUGAAUUCUGCGAGGACGGUCAGACUUGGGACCGGGAGAGGUGUGGGGUACGCUCAGGGUAGGGGUAAAAUCCUGUCAUCCUGAGCGGACCACCUGUUGCGAAGGCGCCACACUAGAACGGAUCCGACGGUCAGGGACGAAGCCUAGGGGCACGAACCGGAUUAGAUACCCGGGUAGUCCUAGGUGUAAACGCUGUGGACUUGAUGUUGGG